rnacentral:rRNA from 1 species
CCUACGGGUGGCAGCAGUGGGGAAUAUUGGACAAUGGGCGAAAGCCUGAUCCAGCCAUGCCGCGUGUGUGAAGAAGGCCUUCGGGUUGUAAAGCACUUUCAGUGGGGAAGAAAGCCUUGGGGCUAAUACCCUCGAGGAAGGACAUCACCCACAGAAGAAGCACCGGCUAACUCCGUGCCAGCAGCCGCGGUAAUACGGAGGGUGCGAGCGUUAAUCGGAAUUACUGGGCGUAAAGCGCGCGUAGGCGGUCUGAUAAGCCGGUUGUGAAAGCCCCGGGCUCAACCUGGGAACGGCAUCCGGAACUGUCAGGCUAGAGGGCAGGAGAGGAAGGUAGAAUUCCCGGUGUAGCGGUGAAAUGCGUAGAGAUCGGGAGGAAUACCAGUGGCGAAGGCGGCCUUCUGGACUGACACUGACGCUGAGGUGCGAAAGCGUGGGUAGCAAACAGGAUUAGAUACCCCUGUAGUC